GACGAACGCUGGCGGCGUGCUUAACACAUGCAAGUCGAACGGAAAGGCCCUGCUUUUGUGGGGUGCUCGAGUGGCGAACGGGUGAGUAACACGUGAGUAACCUGCCCUUGACUUUGGGAUAACUUCAGGAAACUGGGGCUAAUACCGGAUAGGAGCUCCUGCUGCAUGGUGGGGGUUGGAAAGUUUCGGCGGUUGGGGAUGGACUCGCGGCUUAUCAGCUUGUUGGUGGGGUAGUGGCUUACCAAGGCUUUGACGGGUAGCCGGCCUGAGAGGGUGACCGGCCACAUUGGGACUGAGAUACGGCCCAGACUCCUACGGGAGGCAGCAGUGGGGAAUAUUGCACAAUGGGCGGAAGCCUGAUGCAGCAACGCCGCGUGCGGGAUGACGGCCUUCGGGUUGUAAACCGCUUUCGCCUGUGACGAAGCGUGAGUGACGGUAAUGGGUAAAGAAGCACCGGCUAACUACGUGCCAGCAGCCGCGGUGAUACGUAGGGUGCGAGCGUUGUCCGGAUUUAUUGGGCGUAAAGGGCUCGUAGGUGGUUGAUCGCGUCGGAGGUGUAAUCUUGGGGCUUAACCCUGAGCGUGCUUUCGAUACGGGUUGACUUGAGGAAGGUAGGGGAGAAUGGAAUUCCUGGUGGAGCGGUGGAAUGCGCAGAUAUCAGGAGGAACACCAGUGGCGAAGGCGGUUCUCUGGGCCUUUCCUGACGCUGAGGAGCGAAAGCGUGGGGAGCGAACAGGCUUAGAUACCCUGGUAGUCCACGCUGUAAACGGUGGGUACUAGGUGUGGGGUCCAUUCCACGGGUUCCGUGCCGUAGCUAACGCUUUAAGUACCCCGCCUGGGGAGUACGGCCGCAAGGCUAAAACUCAAAGGAAUUGACGGGGCCCCGCACAAGCGGCGGAGCAUGCGGAUUAAUUCGAUGCAACGCGUAGAACCUUACCUGGGUUUGACAUGGAUCGGGAGCGCUCGGAGAUGGGUGUGCCUCUUUUGGGGUCGGUUCACAGGUGGUGCAUGGCUGUCGUCAGCUCGUGUCGUGAGAUGUUGGGUUAAGUCCCGCAACGAGCGCAACCCUUGUUCACUGUUGCCAGCACGUUAUGGUGGGGACUCAGUGGAGACCGCCGGGGUCAACUCGGAGGAAGGUGGGGAUGACGUCAAGUCAUCAUGCCCCUUAUGUCCAGGGCUUCACGCAUGCUACAAUGGCUGGUACAGAGAGUGGCGAGCCUGUGAGGGUGAGCGAAUCUCGGAAAGCCGGUCUCAGUUCGGAUUGGGGUCUGCAACUCGACCUCAUGAAGUCGGAGUCGCUAGUAAUCGCAGAUCAGCAACGCUGCGGUGAAUACGUUCCCGGG
rnacentral:rRNA from 1 species